ACCGGGGCAACAUGAAGUUCGGGGCAGGACGGGAAAUAAGCUUGUGUCCAUGAAUGGUAAUCGUGUUCGGACCGGUAACGGCGCCAUUUGCACGAAAUUCAGACUGCGCAAGUGCGUCCGAGCAGAGCGAACGUGUUGGAUCUCGUUUUUGUGUUGUAUAGGAAAAAAACUGAUUUUUCAAGUGUUUUUAUCCGGUUUUUGGUUAAGAAACUGAUGUGCAGACAUAUACAAUGGUUCGGAACUAUAAACGAAAAACAGAUCGUGGCAAAUGGGACUCUGAAGUUCUGGGUCUUAUGCGUUCUUAAUAACAGGUUGGGGCUUCCUCGAGCCUCAGCUACAUAUGAUGUUCCGCCGUCGUGUAAGAAAAGCUCGUGAUACUGUGGAUGACGACACUGAUUCCGGUAACGACUAAGUAUGGGAAAAAGUAUUUGUGACGAUUCAAAACUGUUUUUACAGCAAACAAGAAGAUGAGUUCGCGCAAUGUGUGUUAUGGAAGCACGGUUAACAGGAAAAUAACUUCGUGUAAUAAAUAGCUUAUCAGAUGGCUCAGCGAAAUCAUAUAGAUAGCCCACUUAAUGAAGAAACCGGCAUGGCAGGAGAAGAUUGGCGUAAAAAACGAAUACAUAAAGUUGGAAAUAAGAAGAUAAAAAGAACUGAAAACAAGCGUCAAGCUAAAAGACUCGCCAAAGAAAUCGAAUCGGAAGAUAGUUUAUCUUAAGAGGAGGACGGUGACUGGGCCUGCAUCUAUUGUGGUUACUUAUACUAAGAGUCAACCGAGGGUUGGGCUGGCUAUCUGCAGUAUUUGCCAUGGUUGGGCACACGAUUCCUGUACCGGAGUAGAUGAAGAAGACGAAAAGGCAUACAUUUGUGAACGCUGUCUACCCGAUUAAAAUACGUACUCCUUUUGCCCCGUAGUAUUUCCCAUCUUACCCCAUCCAUGGGGCAAGACGGGAAAUUCGCCUCAUUAUCGUUAAUCAUUAUUUGUCAAAAAACUUCUAUGAUUUUCCUUGAUAAAAUUAUUAAUUUUAAGAGACAAAUGUAUAAGUGUUACUUAUUUUCUUAAAGAAUUUAAUUAAAGAGUAUAAUUGUCUUUGUA